rnacentral:rRNA from 1 species
GACGAACGCUGGCGGCGUGCUUAACACAUGCAAGUCGAACGGAAAGGCCCUGCUUGCAGGGUAUUCGAGUGGCGAACGGGUGAGUAACACGUGGGUGAUCUGCCCUGCACUUCGGGAUAAGCCUGGGAAACUGGGUCUAAUACCGGAUAGGAGCCAUUUUUAGUGUGAUGGUUGGAAAGUUUUUUCGGUGUAGGAUGAGCUCGCGGCCUAUCAGCUUGUUGGUGGGGUGAUGGCCUACCAAGGCGGCGACGGGUAGCCGGCCUGAGAGGGUGGACGGCCACAUUGGGACUGAGAUACGGCCCAGACUCCUACGGGAGGCAGCAGUGGGGAAUAUUGCACAAUGGGCGCAAGCCUGAUGCAGCGACGCCGCGUGGGGGAUGACGGCCUUCGGGUUGUAAACUCCUUUCGCUAGGGACGAAGCUUUUUGUGACGGUACCUAGAUAAGAAGCACCGGCUAACUACGUG